rnacentral:rRNA from 1 species
GUUUGAUCCUGGCUCAGAUUGAACGCUGGCGGCAUGCCUUACACAUGCAAGUCGAACGGCAGCGCGGGGCAACCUGGCGGCGAGUGGCGAACGGGUGAGUAAUAUAUCGGAACGUGCCCUGGAGUGGGGGAUAACGUAGCGAAAGUUACGCUAAUACCGCAUACGAUCUACGGAUGAAAGUGGGGGAUUCGCAAGAACCUCAUGCUCGUGGAGCGGCCGAUAUCUGAUUAGCUAGUUGGUAGGGUAAAAGCCUACCAAGGCAUCGAUCAGUAGCUGGUCUGAGAGGACGACCAGCCACACUGGAACUGAGACACGGUCCAGACUCCUACGGGAGGCAGCAGUGGGGAAUUUUGGACAAUGGGCGCAAGCCUGAUCCAGCAAUGCCGCGUGAGUGAAGAAGGCCUUCGGGUUGUAAAGCUCUUUUGUCAGGGAAGAAACGGUGGCUUCUAAUACAAGCCACUAAUGACGGUACCUGAAGAAUAAGCACCGGCUAACUACGUGCCAGCAGCCGUGGUAAUACGUAGGGUGCAAGCGUUAAUCGGAAUUACUGGGCGUAAAGCGUGCGCAGGCGGUUUUGUAAGUUUGUCGUGAAAUCCCCGGGCUCAACCUGGGAAUGGCGAUGAAGACUGCAAGGCUAGAGUUUGGCAGAGGGGGGUAGAAUUCCACGUGUAGCAGUGAAAUGCGUAGAUAUGUGGAGGAACACCGAUGGCGAAGGCAGCCCCCUGGGUCAAAACUGACGCUCAUGCACGAAAGCGUGGGGAGCAAACAGGAUUAGAUACCCUGGUAGUCCACGCCCUAAACGAUGUCUACUAGUUGUCGGGUCUUAAUUGACUUGGUAACGCAGCUAACGCGUGAAGUAGACCGCCUGGGGAGUACGGUCGCAAGAUUAAAACUCAAAGGAAUUGACG